CUCUGUUGCCCAUUGCACUGUCUGUGAGUUUGACUUUGGUGGCCGGAAGCAUCACAUUUGCAGUCCUCAUAAUACUGAAGAGGAAAAAGGCAGCAUUAUUGAUAGAUGAUGAAUCAGAUCAGAACUCAGGUUUUGAUCUGCAUGACUGCAGAACAGCUGACACAGAACAUAGAACUGAGACUGACUCCUCUUUCUUCAACAUUUUAUAUGAAUCGCAGUUAACAGAUGCUGCAGUUGCUUCAUCUGAGUCUUAGACUUUCCUACAGAAACCACUAGAAUACAUUCAGCAUAAGUGAUGACAACCCUCAUUUUAAAUAUAAUGUCUCAGUUUUAUAUGUUUGCCUUUAAAAAUUUGCAAUCAACAAAUGCUAAAAAAAACUAUCUUCUUUCAAUUUUACAGGAGACAUUUCAAACAAAAUCUAAAAUAAAUAUUUCAUUGUGUCAUU